GUUUGCGGGAAGGAAGAAGGUCCUGACAGGGCAGCGGCCAAGCCGUGGCACGAUCAAGAAAACAACAACCAGUCUCCAAAACUGUGGUUUCAUAGUGGCGUGCCCCCUUCUCCCCCCCAUCCCCUCCCAAGGAAAGGGGGGGGUGCACUGGCCCUUGGGGCCGUGGGGACGCUGCACCGGGCGCUCGCUGCAGAGACCCUCUGCCCUGGGAUUUCAGCAUCGCUUGGAGUGGAUGAGGCUGAGACAGCUUCCUCCCGGAGAGCCGCGGUGUAAUAUGGAGUCAGUGAAAAAAAAGGACUUUACAAAGGGCCUUGAUACCUCAUUGGGGAAAGGUUUUCAUUUGUCCUGGGGUGAGUUUCCUCAGCUCCUGCAUGGGAUGGGCCCUUUGGAGAGGCCACGGGAGCACUGCGGGGCCAAACACUGGUCCAAAACCUUUCCCUGCCACAACUCACCCUCUGCAAGCCUUCAUCCUCAUGGAAAAUACACGGUGCUGAAGUCGGAGAUACUCCACCGGCCGGGACAACUGGCGGUGAAACGCUGGUGGUGGCCCUCGCCUCGCCAGCGCCCGCCGGCUUUGGCCAGCUCCUGCCAAACAUCUCCGGAGCUGCUCCGUCACCAGUGCCGGCGGGCAGGUUCCACUGCGCUUCCCUGGGAGCUUUUGGAUUUAUGGUGUAAAACAAACUUCUUUCUUUGUCCAAAUGAGAUGCUUCCUGCAGAAAUAGCUAUUUUGGGUUGGGUUUUUUUAUUUUAAUGGCUUCUCAAAGGGCAAAACUGGCUCACACGAAGCUGCUCCAAAUGUUUCCAAGCAAAGUUUAAGAGAAAACUGGAGUUUCGCUUAAGCGUGUUUUAAUAGGGAAGGCUUGUUUUUCCUUCAUGUUCACUGCUCUUCUUGGAAAACAGAGCCAAGAGCAGAAAUGUCUUCAGCUCAAAGCAAACUAUUUUGUUUCAGUUUUGAGAACUGGGGAGGGAUCAACAUUUUUACAGGAGAAAUUUUUUCCUUCCAAUAAGCUCCAUUUCAAACAUUUUUUUUUCUCCAGAGCAUGUUAGGAAGAGUCGCGUGUUGACAUACAAUAAAUAAAGUUGUUAUUCUCUGCA